rnacentral:rRNA from 1 species
UACAGAGGUGGCAAGCGUUGUUCGGAAUUACUGGGCGUAAAGGGCGCGUAGGCGGCCAUCUAAGUCAGACGUGAAAUCCCCCGGCUUAACCUGGGAACUGCGUCUGAUACUGGACGGCUUGAGUAUGGGAGAGGGAUGUAGAAUUCCAGGUGUAGCGGUGAAAUGCGUAGAUAUCAGGAGGAACACCAAUGGCGAAGGCAGCUCGCUGGGACGGUACUGACGCUGAGACGCGAAAGCGUGGGGAGCAAACAGG